CGAACAGGACCGUGAAACGACUCAGCGCCGAUGAUAGUGUGGAUACCCAUGUGAAAGUAGGUCACUGCCAGGC
rnacentral:rRNA from 1 species